AUUGGAAGCUAUUUUGUAGAUGACAUCGCCGAAGUUGAGGAUCGGUAGGAUAUUCCGUUUUACUAGGGUAAGUUUGGCAGGCGAGUGAUGGAGGCUUUGUUGCGAAAUAGAAAGCCGAUUUUAGAUCUGAUUUUGGAUUGUGUGUGUCUCCAAAUCCGUAUAAGUGCAUGGUGUGGAGCAGCUAGCUGUAGGAGGGAGGAUGGUCUACUCUACCUGUUCACUCAACACUGUAGAGGACGAAGCUGUCAUAGCAACAGUACUGGAGAAGAGUAACACACACACACACACGCAUGCAUGCACAAAUCCAGUGUCUCAGACACACCCACACCGGUGAUAACUGCCUCAGCUCCUUUGUCUUUCUCCAGGUGCGUUAGAGUUGGCAGAUGAGUCCGCUGAUCUCCCAGGGUUAAAAUGGAUGUCUGGAGUCACCAAAUGGAAGGUGUAUAACUGUUGGACCACAUGAGCUCCACCUCAUGCCUAACAGUCACUGCUAGCAGCUACUAGAGUUGAUGACUAAGGAGGGUCAGUGGUAUAAGGACUGGUCAGAGGUGCCAGCCGACCACCACACACAGAUCAGACCCACCAUGUUCCCUCCCCCCUGGAGGAGGGGCGGCAGGGUAGCCUAGUGGUUAGAGCGUUGGACUAGGUUGCAAGUUCAAAUCCCCGAGCUGACAAGUAUGAGGAUCCUGCCCCAUCACCAGAACACUGGAGGCUUCUUUGUAGCUGUCCUGGUCAAGAAAGCCCCCAUGCCCUGGAGCAGAACAAUCCCCAAGUUGAGGAAGGAGCAGACAUCCAGCUCAGUGCCCCAGCCAGAGGACUCUCCAGUGGACACCCCCCUCCUUGAGAGACCCCUGGAGGAUGGAGACGGAGGAGAAGAGGCAGGAGAGGACUCGCCCAAAGAGCUAGUCGAUCAGACCAAGGAACCCAACGUGUGUGGGUGAUCAACACAGAGGUGUAUGUGUGGUCUCUCAACAGCGACAAGGAGGGGUUUGGCUGUGUCUUCAGACUUGCCCAGGAGGGUAUCUACUCUGUUCCCCUACAUCCGCUCCAGGAUGAUCAUAAUCAGUGUUGAGGACAUCAAGAUUCUACUGACUCAGGAGAACCCGUACCUCAACAAAUUGGAGGAUGAUGCUCACCAACAGGCCAAGAAGAUUGGUACAGUCGUGCUUUUUGU